GCCUGGAUGGUGGAACUGGUAGACACGCAGGACUUAAAAUCCUGUAGCUAUUAAAAAGCUGUGCGGGUUCAAUUCCCGCUCUAGGUACUA
rnacentral:tRNA from 1 species